GAACGCAGCGACAGGCCUAACACAUGCAAGUCGAGGGGCAGCACAAGGAGCAAUCUGAGGUGGCGACCGGCGCACGGGUGAGUAACACGUAUGCAACCUGCCUGUAAGCGGGGAAUAACCCGUUGAAAGACGGACUAAUACCGCAUAAUACUAAAUUACUGCAUGGUAAUUUAUUUAAACAUUUAUGGCUUACAGAUGGGCAUGCGCAUGAUUAGCUAGUUGGAGAGGUAACGGCUCCCCAAGGCAACGACCGUUAGGGGUUCUGAGAGGAAGGUCCCCCACACUGGUACUGAGACACGGACCAGACUCCUACGGGAGGCAGCAGUGAGGAAUAUUGGUCAAUGGGCGAGAGUCUGAACCAGCCAAGUCGCGUGCAGGAAGAAUGUCCUAUGGAUUGUAAACUGCUUUUGCAGGGGAAUAAAGUGCAUCACGUGUGAUGUUUUGUAUGUACUCUGCGAAUAAGGAUCGGCUAACUCCGUGCCAGCAGCUGC
rnacentral:rRNA from 1 species